UUGGAGGGCAAGUCUGGUGCCAGCAGCCGCGGUAAUUUCAGCUCCAAUAGCGUAUAUUAAAGUUGUUGCAGUUAAAAAGCUCGUAGUUGAAUUUCGGGAUCAAUACGUCGGUCGUGCUUUUUUGGUACGCACUGGCGUCAUUGGUUUCUCCUUUCUGACGAACCAUGAUGUCAUUAAUUUGGUGUUAUGGGGAGUUAGGACUGUUACUUUGAAAAAAUUAGAGUGUUUAAAGCAGGCAUUAGCUUGAAUACAUUAGCAUGGAAUAAUGAAAUAGGACGUUCGAUCCUAUUUUGUUGGUUUCUAGGAUCAACGUAAUGAUUAAUAGGGAUAGUUGGGGGCAUUAGUAUUCAAUUGUCAGAGGUGAAAUUCUUGGAUUUAUUGAAGACUAACUACUGCGAAAGCAUUUGCCAAGGACGUUUUCAUUAAUCAAGAACGAAAGUUAGGGGACCGAAGACGAUCAGAUACCGUCGUAGUCUUAACCAUAAACUAUGCCGACUAGGGAUCGGAUGAUGUUAAUUUUUUAAUGACUCAUUCGGCGCCUUACGGGAAAC
rnacentral:rRNA from 1 species